UUUUGUUUAUAGGUUUAUAUUAAGAAAGAGUGCAAGCAAACGAUUUACUAUAUUUACUAUAUUUAACGAUUACUAUUUUUAAGAGUAAUCUCAAAACGGAAUCGUGAAGUUCCACCUCUACAUCGGCUUUUGUUGACAUUGAGGUUCUACUCAUUGGGCACAAUGUUGGUUGCGGUAGCUGACUACAUAGGAGUUACUAAAUCUUAUGCAGGACAUAUAAUAAAAGAUGUAUCACAAGCUACAGAUUAUACGCAAAGUACAUAUACAUCCAAAUAGCCAGAUUUCCUCGUGUAUUAGGUGCUAUUGAAGGCACACAUAUACUAAUGCGAUCACCAACUCAGUGUGAAAGUGGUGUUUACGGCAUUCGAUGGUUAUUCGGCGAUAUUGAAUAUCCAUGAAAAUCCUAUUUUUUAACACCGUUACUGAAUACACAAUGUAAUAGUGAUAUAAACUACAACCGAGCAAACAUUCUAACUAGAAAUACUAUAAAAAGAAGUUUUGGAUCUUGGAAAAGAAGAUUCCCAGUUUUGUCAUGAAAAAUAAGGCUACCUAGGGAAACAAUACACGCUAUAAUUGUUGUUACUUCUAAGAUGCAUAACAUUUGCAGACAAAGAAAUUUACAGGAAGUCUAACCAGAAAUAGAUAUACUCAAUUUUAAUAUAAUUAUUAAAUCUGCAAAUGUUCUUUAAAUCAGAUUCAGGAAUGGCAAUCGUUAAGUAAUAAUUAAUUUAGGUAAAUAAAACAAAUGUUUCAAAACA